UUUUUGUGUUCGUAUCGUGACCUGUAUCGCACAUAUCGCAUGAGUAUCGCACGAUACGUAUCCCGAUAUGAUACAAAAA
rnacentral:pre_miRNA from 1 species